ensembl:lncRNA
GCAUGUAUAUUGAUAAACAAAAUCAGUUAAAAAAAAAAAAAAGUAAUAUUUUUUCUAUUUUGGCCUGUAACACUUCAAACACUUAAUGGCUCAUCUACAGUCUUAGUCAGCACCUAACAAGGCUAGCCAAUGGCUUUCCUUCCUUUUUUGCUUAACCGGUCGAGGUUACCAAUAUGCUCAUACAAUCUUUUUCUCUUUUGGCCUGUAACACUUAAAUCAGUUAAAAAAAAAAAUAUUUAUGCAUGUAUAUUGAUAAACAAAAUCAUUAAAAAAAAAAAAAGUACUAUUUUUUUCUAUUUUGGCCUGUAACACUUCAAACACUUAAUGGCUCAUCUACAGUCUUAGUCAGUACCUAACAAGGCUAGCCAAUGACUUUCCUGCCUUUUUUGCUUAACCGGUCGAGGUUACAUUGGCUCAUACGAUCUUUUUCUCUUUUGGCCUGUAACACUUAAAUCAGUUAAAAAAAAAAAAGCACUAUUUUUUUCUCUUUUGGCCUGUACCACUUAAAUCAGUUAAAAAAAAAAAAAAAAAUAUUCAUGCAUCUAUAUUGAUGAACAAAAUCAGUAAAAAAAAAAAAAGUAUUUAUGCAUGUAUAUUGAUAAACAAAAUCAUAAAAAAAAAAAAGUACUAUUUUUUUCUAUUUUGGCCUGUAACACUUCAAACACUUAAUGGCUCAUCUACAGUCUUAGUCAGCACCUAACAAGGCUAGCCAAUGACUUUCCUGCCUUUUUUGCUUAACCGGUCGAGGUUACCAAUAUGCUCAUACACUUUUUUUCUCUUUUGGCCUGUAACACUUAAAUCAGUUAAAAAAAAAGUAUUAAUGCAUGUAUAUUGAUAAAAAAAAUCAGUUUAAAAAAAAAAAAAAAAAAAGUAUUCAUGCAUGUGUAUUAAUAAACAAAAUCAGUAAAAAAAAAAAAAAAAAAAGUACUUUUUUUUUCUAUUUUGGCCUGUAACACUUCAAACACUUAAUGGCUCAUCUACAAUCUUAGUCAGUACCUAACAAGGCUAGCCAAUGGCUUUCCUGCCUUUCUUGCUUAACCGGUCGAGGUUACCAAUAUGCUCAUACAAUCUUUUUCUCUUUUGGCCUGUAACACUUAAAUCAGUUAAAAAAAAAAAAGUAUUCAUGCAUGUAUAAUGAUAAACAAAAUCAGUUAAAAAAAAGUACUUUUUUUUCUAUUUUGGCCUGUAACACUUCAAACACUUAAUGGCUCAUCUACAGUUUUAGUCAGCACCUAACAAGGCUAGCCAAUGGCUUUCCUGCCUUUCUUGCUUAACCGGUCGAGGUUACCAAUAUGCUCAUACAAUCUUUUUCUCUUUUGGCCUGUAACACUUAAAUCAGUUAAAAAAAAAGUAUUUAUGCAUGUAUAUUGAUAAACAAAAUCAGUAAAAAAAAAAAAAAAAAAGUAUUUAUGCAUGUAUAUUGAUAAACAAAAUCAGUAAAAAAAAAAAAAAAAAUGUAUUCAUGCAUGUAUAUUGAUAAACAAAAUCAGUUAAAAAUAAAAAA